rfam:Ralstonia pickettii 12J chromosome 1, complete sequence.
UUGAGCCGUAUGCGGGGAAACUCGCACGUACGGUUCUUAGGGGGGGAUGGGUCAGCAAUGACCUGUCCCUACCCGCC